UACAGAGGGUGCAAGCGUUGUUCGGAAUUAUUGGGCGUAAAGGGCGCGUAGGCGGGCUGCUGCGUCCGGGGUGAAAUCCCACGGCUCAACCGUGGAACGGCCUCGGAUACGGGCGGCCUCGAGGGGGGUAGGGGCAUCUGGAACUGUGAGUGGAGCGGUGAAAUGCGUUGAUAUUCACAGGAACUCCGGUGGCGAAGGCGAGGUGCUGGACCCCUUCUGACGCUGAGGCGCGAAAGCCAGGGGAGCGAACGGG
rnacentral:rRNA from 1 species